CCAAUCAGAGUGUAGAUGCCGAGUCCCUGAGGUGAAAGGUUACUACGGCGAGCGUCAAUGACCAAUAGAAAAAGCGACGACUUCAUUUCAAGUACAGCGUUGCACAAGAGAGCCAUUGCAUUUCAAGUUCACUUUCUUCAAAGCAGUUCCGGAUCUCUCUGGCAGUUCGGCGUCGUACAGAGUCGCCGGCAGGUGUCCGUCUCAACCCAGACGGCAAACGCAGCGUGUGGAAUGCAGUGGAGAAGCGGCAACGGCCGGAGCCUUGCCUGGUGCUCGCUGCUCCUGGCCACUCUUCUCCUGCGCGCCCACGCGCACGAAUCCGAGGCUAACGGCCACCCGGACGUAACCGAUGGUCACCGAAUGCGUCUGGACAAGAACGUGGUUCAGGACAGGGAGCACAUCAUGGAGCAUUUGGACGGAGUGAUCGAUAAGCCGGAGUCCGACAUGUCUCCCCAAGAGCUACAGCUGCACUACUUCAAGAUGCACGACUACGACGGCAACAACCUGCUGGACGGCCUCGAGCUGGCCACCGCCAUCACGCACGUACACAAAGAGGAGAGGGGAGAGGACAGUCAGCCAAUGAGAGAGGAGGACCUCAUAAACUUGAUUGACGAUGUCCUGAGAGACGAUGACAAAAACAACGACGGUUACAUCGAUUAUGCCGAAUUCGCCAAAUCUCUCGAGUAGAGAAAUGGGGGAUUGAGCAACUGUGAAAUGGCCUAAACGGGUGAACAUUACCACUCAUCUUUCUAGAAACAAGCAGCCUUUAAUUCACCUGAGCUAGUACGUCCGGUGGGCCAUGGAGGCGGAGAAAACGCGGCUCCGGCGAUGCCUCGCAGCGCUGCUGGCGUCUCUGACCUAGACGCCACUUUUGAACCGUGGACCGCCCUGACGUCGCAUGUCAAUCACCCCCCCGAGUCACGCCCACUUACAGAGCCCACCUGCGGCCAUGCCGAAGGCAGUGCUAGCCAGCACAAUGCAUUCAAGUGUUUAUGUGGGAACCACUAUUGCUUAAAG